rnacentral:rRNA from 1 species
UACGAAGGGUGCAAACGUUGCUCGGAAUUAUUGGGCGUAAAGCGCACGUAGGCGGCUUUGCAAGUCGGAUGUGAAAUCCCUCGGCUCAACCAAGGAAGUGCAUCCGAAACUGCAGAGCUUGAGUACCAAAGAGGAUCGCGGAAUUCCCGGUGUAGAGGUAAAAUUCGUAGAUAUCGGGAGGAACACCAGUGGCGAAGGCGGCGAUCUGGGUGGAUACUGACGCUGAGGUGCGAAAGCGUGGGGAGCAAACAGG